GUUACAGUAAAAGAAUCUCUGAAUCCUAACAUUACCUAAUGUUUGGCAGAGAGGCUCGCUAUCCUUCCGAAAUCCCAGAAGAGUUCAUGGUUGAUGAUAGUGUGGAAGACAUUGUGGGGCAGGAGGAGCUGUCGGAAGACAUUCAAAAGCAUCAAAAGCUGUUGGAACUGGUGAAGGACAAUGUGGUCAAAGCUCAGGAAAAAACAAAGGGCAAAAUAAAAAUGAUGAAGAGAGAUGUCGCCUUCAAAGUUGGUGACAAAGUUUUAAGAGCCAACAUAAGAAGCCAGCAGAGGAAAGGGGGAAAACUUGAAGCAAACUUUUUAGGCCCUUACGUUAUUACAGCAAUCCAAGGUAAAAGUGCAGAUCUUCAGGAUUCCAAUGGGACAAUCAUUCCAAAAGUAAAUAUUGACCAACUAAAGUUAAGCAAAGACAGCAUGCCAAGAGUGCCACACCGGGGUUCAAAGAAAACAGCAGCCACAUUACUAACAGCACAACCAGGUCCAGCAGCACCACAAGCUGCAGCAGCCCCAGCAUCUGCUCUAGCUUCACAGGCUACAGCAGCACCAGUGGCGGUAGCACCACCACCACCUCCUCCUAGAGCUACACAGCCUACAGCACCAAUGACAUCACUUACAUCACUACCAGUUCAAACACAACAUCCAUCUCCAGUUCCACAAGGUAUAGCAACAACGGUAUCAGAUCCAGAGUCAGGAGCAACAGCACAGAAAGAGAACGGACCAGCCACAAGUGCUACAGCACCAGAACACGCUACAGCUCUACAAACCGAAUCCCAAACAGCAGCAGACCCAGCCUCAAAGACCAUAACAGCAGACCAGGCCUCACAAACCACAACAGCAGACACAGCCUCACAAACCACAACAGCAGACACAGCCUCACAAACCACAACAGCAGACCAGGCCUCACAAACCACAACGGCAGCAGACCCAUCCUCAUAGACCACAACAGCAGCAGACCCAUCCUCACAGACCACAGCUCCAAAUGCUACAACCACACAAGCCUCAGCUCCACAGAUUACAGCCCAGCAACCUACAGCACAAACCAUGGAAGCAACAGUUCCACUUGUGACACCAGCCCCAGCAACAGCCGCACAAGCUAGCCCUGCACCACCUCCAGCAUCACCACCUCAAAGAUACACUGAACCUGUUGCAGAGAAAUAUAUAAUGGAUGCCUGGGCUGGAAAGAGUCCUCACUUUCUACUCUCCAAAAUUGGUGCUUACAAAUUAUUCUACUGGGAUAUCCAACAAAUUGGUCCGGACAUGGAGUUGGAAAGUGAGUCUAUUAAUGCAUAUCUUGCGAUCAUGGUGAGAUAAUGCAAUCGCCAUAAUUCAGCAAAAGCAGCAUUCAUUGAUUCAUUUUCAAUGACUGCCAUUUGGAAGAGAAAAGCUCCAAGACUCAAGAUCAAACCCAUGGAGCAUGAAGUGAUUCUGGGAAUUGUAAAUGAACAUCAUCACUGGACAUUAGUGGUCAUUUACCCACAAGAAAAGAAGUCGCUGUAUCUUGAUCCACUCGGAGAAACUAAACAAGGCAUCCAAAAUUGUUUGGAAUCAACAAGGGCAUUCAUGCGACAAAAAGGAUGCAACGUCUCAAGGUGGACUUGUGACACAGUCAAACACCCAAAACAAGUGGACGCUACCUCAUGUGGAGUCUUUGCAUUGAAAAAUCUCUUUUUCAGUUUGCUGAAAAGAUCUUGCGAAAAGAGUCCAUAGACUUUCCGUCUACCAAAAAGGCCGUAAACACACACAGGCUGCAAAUUGCCACCACUCUCCUCCUAGAGACAGAUGACUUGACAAACAUCUGUCUUUUCUGCGGAGAAGAAGAGCAUGAAACUGACAACAAAUGGAUUCAGUGUGAGAUGUGUUUGCGGUGGUUCCACCAGCUGUGCGUGAAAAGCCCACCACCAGAAGACGUGUUCAUUUGUUUUGCUUGUACAUAGUUGACACUAAAGGUCCACAGCUAGUGUUCUUAUGGCACACAUUGUUGAGAACAUACAUAUCUACAUAUAUAUAUGUAGAUGUUAAAAUAAGAAGUCUAAAAAAGGAAAAUGGUCUCCAAAAAUACUGUAGUUAUUAGUUAUGUGAUUUAUUUCGCAAAUAAACUCUUUCGUGAUUGCACC